CACCAGCGUGCCGCCGCCGCUGCCCCAAUCCCCCUCCCACCAGCGCGCCGCCACCACCCUAAACUCCCUCCCAUGGCCCUAUCACACACGCCGCCGGCCGCGCCUCCCUCUCUCACGCCACCUGCGGCUGCCACGCCAUGGCAGGCACUGAGCCGUUGCGGCAGUACAACUGCAUGCUCCGCCGUCGGUCAUGAGUAGAGCUGCGUGCAGGCCACCCGUGCUCUUCCCUGGAUCCGAUUCACUCGAUCCAGGAGGUGCUAGCUCAUACUAGCUGGAACUAGGAUGCAAAAGGGUUGACGGAUCCAUGUCGCACAAGCACUUGUGCUCUGCUUUCUUCUUACUUUGUGUUCUAAUUUCCUUUCCUCUUAUUUUCAGUUUGCGAGAUACAAAAAGAAGUUAAAAAAUGUUGUGCCUGGAGUUCAUAUUAUUUGCUACCCCAUGAUGUACGUCUAUAGUUCCUCCCUCCAAAUGUGUUGGUCCAUGUGGUUGUAUUUAUUGUUUUGGAUCUAUGAAAAAGGUUAUUGAAGCUCAAAUGUGAUAAGCACAUAAGUUCAGAUCUCCGCUGCUACGAAGUUCACGUAUACCUCUGUCUGCUUUAAUCAUGGCAUACAAAUUUUGCACUACGAGAAAGUUCAGAGGCAAGAGCGUAGAAAAUAAAGAACACAAAAAUAUCAACAAAAAAUUCACUAGGAGAAAAGUUCAAGUCAGGAUAUGCAAGAAAAGUUAAUAUUUUAUUGCAGUUCAAUUUCAAAUUCUAGUCAAGUUUCAUUUAUUAUUUUAAUUUAGUCUAGUUUUUAUUUUAGUUUAGUUCAAUAUCUAAUUUUUGUUCAGUUCAAUUCUUAUUUUAGAAACAAAUUGAAUUGUUUCUUUAUCUACAUUCUUCUAUUCAACGUCAGAGAGAAGGUGCCUCAUGGUAAAAGCGUGCCAAGAUUUUCUAAGAACCCCAGACCCAUCCUGGUGCCGCCCGGCCCCCAACCUCCAACCUCCUCGGAUCCUGGCACCACCCCGCCCCUACCUCCUCCCUGGAUCCCGGCGCCGCACGCCCCCAUCUCCCCGGAUCCCCGCAACACCUAGUCCCCAACCUCUCUGGCUCCCGGCGCCGCCAACCGCCAUCAUCUGCCAGCUCCUGUAGCCGCCUCCGCCUAUUUCCUCCUGCGGGUCGAACGGUGCGAAUCUGGCCGACGUGGUGGGGCUGUGAGACUCACUCGGGUGGAGCUCCUCCGCCUCUAGCCGUUGAUCCAUAGUUCAUUGUCAGUACAUGUUCUGAAAGUGCCUAGUACAUGUUGGGGGACAUUUCUGGAAUCACGUAUCCUUGCUAGCUUGCAGCUGUAAUUUUGAUUGCAUAGCAGUACAGUUUAGUUGUCUCUGAAGUUUUGAUUCACAGCAGUACAAUUUAGUCCCAGCUGCCAUGAUUCUGCAAACCAUUGUGCUCUCAAAAGAUGGUGCUUUGUUGCAACAAGUUGUGGAAAAAAUGCAGUGAAAAAAUAAAAUGUGCUCCCACAAGUUCAUAUGAUAUAUUGUUGUUAGUUCAAUUUAUUUUAUAUGCCUCUACACAUGUUUGUUGAAAUGCUGACAAGGAGCUAGACUUGUUUUUUGUUCAUAUUUCUUGUUUCUUAAAACAACUGAUGUACUACUAUCAAAAUGGAAGCCACAAUAAAGAUCUCAUCACUAAAUUGACGAUUCAGCCAUGUUUGCUUGUGUGUACUGCUGAACUGGCAAUGUUACUAAACUUGUGUUCUCACUGAUUCUAAACUGUUGCUGUAGCAUUUGUGAUGCUCGUCUGAUUUUGGUUGGAAGUUUAAUGAAUCCAUACAUAGUUCAACUUUUAGGAAGUUAAAAGUUCAACGAGUGUCUUAGAGAAAACUUGGAAGUUUUGUCUAUAUAAAAAAGAUCACAAAAAUAUAUGUGUUCUGACCUAAGAUGUUCAGGAAAGAGUUCCAGAAUAUCCCCGGUCGCCGCGUCCCCGGGAAGCCAUGCCGACAGCCACCACCACUGUGAGCGACAACCACCACCACUGCGAGCUGCCAGUGCAGCGUCCCACCAGCCCCCAUGUGCCUCCAUCCCUCAAGCUCCCAGAUGCGUCGUCGUGAACCCUUUGUUCCCCAUCGCUGCCUCCUCCAACUCCUUUCAUGGCUCUGGAAAAUCACUUAUCAGGUAUGUUCAGUUCAGACCACACUAAAAUGGCCAAAUUAUAGAUAAAUAUGUGCAUUGUCCUAAAUUAUUCCACUCUCUGGAAACAAAGUCGCAGAAUGGAUGUGAGCGGAGUAUACUUCCAUGGUUUCUCAAGAAAUCAUACAAUAAGUUUACUGUUCACUAUGUAUUUUAUCAUCAGUUAAAAAAUAAUCAUAGAAAAAGUUCAAUUUGUGUUAUUGAAACAGCUCAAUUUAUCGGUAUUGUGGAGAUCAUGCAUGACUAGUAUUUAUGUUCUCAAGAUAUGAGAGAGUGGGAUGUUUGCAUGAUUGUGGCUGGUUGGAGUGUAUGGUCUUGUACCUAUAUUACAACAAUUUGCUAAUAAAAAAUGUAUCAGUUCAUUGUGUAGCACAUGGUUAACACAUAUAAUUACAAAACAGUUACUUGAACUAUACAAGAGUUCAACUUUUACUUGAUUUUCAGUUCAAAUUUUGCGUUAUUUUCAAUACAUCAACUUUAAUGUGCAGAACAUCGAGGAAAUCCUAAAAAAAUAUAUGUGCACUCUAUGUAUUUUCUUAUGCUUACAAGAAUUUUGCACUCAUACUGUUAUGCAUCAGUUCAGGUCACCCGUGGAGUUUUAGAUAUAUGCAAAAUCGUAUUAGAGCACCAUGCUCUCACCCAAAGGUUUGAAAAACCAUUGCUUUCAGUUCUGGUAACAUAUGUUUUUGUUUCAGUUUUGCUAAUUCUUUCUCCUAUGGGUUGUUAUAUAUUAUCUUUCACUUGUCUUACUAUAUGAAAAAAAUAUGUGGCCUUUAGCGAGCAAUCUUGCGUAGUUUUCUGGUUAAAAAACAGACAACAUGGAUUUACCAUGUUCUAUUAAAAGAAAGCUGGAGUUCAAAUUCUAAUUUUAGUUCAGUGAAGAUCAAUGGGAAAAUGCACAAGAAGUUCAGACUCUUCUUUCCUAAAGUGUUUGUUUUGGUAUGUCUAGCCCAAACAAUCAUCAAUUUUUUUUAAAAAAAAUCUCUGUUGUCAAAUAAAAGUUAUAGUAAUUAUUAUGGACAUGUUCAUUACAAACUUAUGUAAUGGUGCAGUACACCUAUUUAAUUUUUUUAUAUAUUUACAAAACAGAAAUUAUAAUUCUCAGAAACCUACAAAAAAAGCAUCAAUUUAUAUUGAUAGUUGUUCUAGUCCUUAUGUUACAACAGUGCAAUGAAAAAAUCUCAUCAGUUCAACAACAUGGACAUGCUAAUGCUGUAGCGAGUCCAUGCUAAUGUUGUAGUGAUCUCGUGCGCGGCCACAAGGAUGUCGGCUGCAAUGAUGCCAAAGUGACGAGCUAUCUACAUUCUGCCUAGCUGUUGUCCAUCUAUAUCUACGUCCGUGGUGCGUCGCCAGCGGCAUCGUCCCUGACCAGGGCACCAUGCUGAGGCACUUGCUACUACUAAUGCACACUGCAUUUGACGCAUAAAGAUGGAAAAUGCAGGAAGCCGCAUGUUUAUGUGGAGCUAAUGCACACCAUUUUUUUGCUGAAAAAUACCAUGGUUAAAAUGAAGGUAAGCUUGUGCAUGUAUUUGUCUGAGGUGGUUAGUUCUGGAAAGGGAUAUUCGCACAAGUAUAUUUAAAGAUAUGAUUUAUUAAAAAGUUGUAGCUCUUUUCUUGGUUUAUGGUCAGCUCAUGCAUCGAGUUUCCAUCCAAUCCAUGGCAUGACCUCUACCUGCACGUACUUGCUGCCAAAAUGUUGUGUUGUUAAACUUGUUAUGAAGCCACUGUAAUUCUUCAGCUGCGACCUACGGGAGUUUCUUCAUCUGCCCUUCAACAAAAAGAACAGCAGUAGUCAAUGCAUCUGCCGUAUCUCUUUCCUCUCUACUGCUCUUUUCUCUUACUAAUUUGUUUCUCUCUGAACUGCGGCACAGGGGAGGUUGGACUACAGACAGCCCCCGCCGCCCCAUGCAUUACUUCCUCCGGUCCCUGUCUAGGAGGUUCAAAGAUUGUCGUGGAGCAAGUUCAAGAGAUUAGUUUCGUGAAAAUAAUGUGAUCUUUUGGUCAGGAUUUUGCAUGAUCCAUAGCCAUCAAUGGCAACAGGCGAGUAGUUCAAGGUCUCCUGCAUGAACUUGUUGUCUCAACACAUCUAUCAUCGGAGUAUCUGCAUCCCCUUGCCGCACACACAUGCCCGGCGGUCGAGAUAGUGUUGUUUGUGAUUACUGGCCGUGACUCUUACAUUGUCAUUGGACAAAGAAUUUAUUCUGUAACUCUGUAUUGGUAGGAUCUUCAGUAAAUAUAUGUUCUUAGUAUUCUAAUAUGUAGGACAAAAUGGUGAAAAUUUAAACAUCAGACUGAAUUAAUACAACUGAGAAGUUCUACUAUCAGUAAACGGGUGGACCUAGGUGCAACA